ensembl:lncRNA
UCCCCAUUUGUCAAGUAAGGAUACUUUUUCCAAGUCUGUCAAAAUAAGGAUAAGCCAAGUUAAGCUACCUUAAAACUCCGAAAUUCUAUGACUUAAAAUAGGAGAGCAUUUUAAGAAGACUUUUAUGCUAGGAUUAUUCAAAUAGCCAGUUCCUGCUAAGCCUGCCCCUCUCUGAGCUCUUGUGUCAGUGAGGGCAGGUGUGUGGCCAGCUCCUACGCUUCCCAACUCCCAAGUUCUUUCCUGCACAAGGUCCAAUUGCUGGGUGAGUCAGGGUGGGGUUGCUUUUUACACCCGGUACUGGCAGGCACCACCAGGAGAGGUGUUUAUUUUUCUUUUUAGGACCUCGCCUGUGGCAUAUGGAGGUUCCCAGGCUAGGGGUCUAAUUGGAGCUGUAGCCGCUGGCCUACAGCAGAGCCACAGCAACAUGGGAUCCAAGCCACGUCUUCGACUUAUACCACAGGUCACGGCAAUGCCAGAUCCUUAACCCACUGAGCGAGGCCAAGGAUCGAACCCACAAGCUCAUGGUUCAUAGUUGGAUUCGUUAACCACUGAGCCACAACGGGAAUUCCAUGUGGGCUUUUAAAUAUUUGUGAAAAACAAAGACAAUAAACAGUUUUGUGUGACUUGCCUUGAAGCUCCUAAUUCCAUGGCUGGAAUUUAAUAAGAAAGUUGGGGAGUUCCUGAAAAAAAAAAAGAAAGAAAGAAAGUUGGGGAGUUCCUGUUGUGUUCCAGCAAAAACAAUCUGACUAGUAUCCAUGAGGAUGCAGAUUCGAUCCCUGGCCUCGCUCAGUGGAUUAAGGAUCCGGUAUUGCUUGAGCUGUGGGCGUAGGUCACAGAUGUGGCUUGGACCUGGCAUUGCUAUGGCUGUGGCGUAGGCUGGUAGCUUCAGCGCCAAUUCGACCCCUAGUCUGGGAACCUCCAUAUGCUGUGAGUACAGCCCUAAGAAGACAAAAAAAAAAAAAAGAAGAAGAAGAAGAAGAAGAAAAAUAAAGUUGGGAUAAUAAUGAGCAGGGGGCAGUUGUUCUUAGAGUUUUCUAAGUAGAUUUUGUAGGCUAUGUUUCUUCUUUUCUUUUCUUUUUCUUUUUAAAUGGCUAUACACUUAGCAUAUGGAAAUUCCCAGGCUAGGGAUCGAAUCCAAGCAGCAGUUGCGACCUACUUCAUAGGUGCAAUAACGCCAGAUCCUUUAAUCCACUGGGCUGGGCAGGGGAUUGAACCCACACCUCCACAGCGACCUGAGCUGCUGCAGUCAGAUUCUCAACCCACUGCAUCAUGAAGGAAACUCCAACUCUUGUUUUCUUUAUAGUCAGCAUGAAACGAGAAAGGUUACACCCUGGUUCUGGCAAAGAUUUCCUAACAGAUGAAUAAAAAUGGACUGGGACAUGGAAUGUUUGCUUGACAUAUUGCUUUCUAAUUUGGAGGACUGUCCAAGUUAAUGUUCUUUCCUUAUAAUUAGGUUUAUUAAUAUUAAAUUCUUGCAUAACAUAGGACUUUCUGGUUUAGAACUAGAAGAGACAUUUUCCCAUAAAUUCUAGAUUUCAGAUUCCUACACUUAUUCAUGGAAAAACUUUUUAACUAUUCAAAACUACUUUGUGGGUUUACAUGUUAUUAGGAGGCACAAAGCAGGAUGUAGGCGUGGGUAGUUCUGUAUUUUAAGACCUCAGUAUGCAUUCACUUACCAGUUUUCACUUUGGGCAAGUUACCUAAACCUCUCUGUGCCUCAGUUUCCUUGAUUUUAUUAUGGGGAUGAUAAUAGUGUCCCUCACAAAGCUAAACUCAGUGUUUGGGAAUGUGCCUAUUACAGGAUGAGGACUUAAGAAAUAAGAGUUUUAUAUUAUCAAAAGGUUAUUAUCAAGAAAUUCCCUGGUGGCUCAGUGUGUUAAGGAUCUGGUGUUGUCACUGCUGUGGCUCAGGUGGCACCUGUGAUGUGGGUUCAGUCCCUGGCCACAGAACUUCCACAUGCCAUGAGUGUGGCCAAAAAAAAAAAAAA